GGAGAAGCUCCGUGGCAGCUGCUUGGAGAACACAGCUCCUACAGUCAUUUGUCUGAUGUUUGCAGACUCUGGGGAAACCACUCCACAUCAUGCUUUGGAAGCUGCUUUGCCUCCUAAAUGGGUACAAACGAAGUUUAAAACAUUUUGUUGCCAAUAAAUGACAGUAUCUAUUUUA